GAAAAGGAAAAGGAAAAGGAAAAGUGCAAUGGAUGCAGAAGAGAGAGGGGGGUGGUAGGGAAAACUAAAAACGCGUUGGGUCUUCAUGUCCGCGCCGUUGUUUUGCAAGAAAGGGAAAGAGAGAGGACAAAGAGUGGGGCCCCCAUGGGAAGAGAGCGAGGAUACAUGAAGAGAACUUAGACGCCUUUGAAACCAAAACGUCCUCCUCACACUCAAAAAGAUUUGUUUUAUCUUUCCCUUACUUUCUUU
rnacentral:misc_RNA from 1 species